GUCCCACUGUGCGCGGGGGUGAGGGCCGCGCGCGUCUGAGCCUGGGGGAGCGACGUGGAGGUGGAGUGUGCCGCCCUCCUAGGCUUUGAGGCAGGUGUCUUCAUCUCACCGUUGUCCGAGCCCUCCUUUGAGAAGUCAGAGAACAAGGAUUGGGUGAGGGGAGGCCACCACCCUCCAGAGAGUCUGGGGGACCAAGGCCCAGAGAAUUGGAAUGACUUUCCAGAUUCCACAGAGAUCCAGCACUGGACAGUCCCCCAUUUGCCCUUGUACAGGCCAGCACUUCUCUCAAAUACAGCCGUCUUUUGGAGGCAACUGGAGAAGGAAUUCCCCAUCUUCAAAUUGGGUCCAAAAAUACCCUUCUCUCUGGCUGCAUUGAUGAUCACAAAUGAGGAUGUUUUACACAAAUUGUAACCUGGCUGCUCUGAGGUGAAGAAGAUACCUUGCUCACUCAAGGGGCAGAAGAGAGAGCAAGAUGCAGCCUCCAUGGGGUGUACCAACCCAAGGACACUGUGGCUCUGCACUGCCUUUUUUACCCUGAUCUUGCAUAACUGAGUGGAUUUCAUG